CACGUAGGGUGCGAGCGUUGUCCGGAAUUAUUGGGCGUAAAGAGCUCGUAGGCGGUGUGUCGCGUCGGCCGUGAAAACCUGCAGCUUAACUGUGGGCUUGCGGUCGAUACGGGCAUCACUGGAGUUCGGCAGGGGAGACUGGAAUUCCUGGUGUAGCGGUGGAAUGCGCAGAUAUCAGGAGGAACACCGAUGGCGAAGGCAGGUCUCUGGGCAUUAACUGACG
rnacentral:rRNA from 1 species